GACCUGAGCUGAUGACUUCCAGCCUGAGCUGAGGAGCAGGGAGCUCACUGCUUUUUCACUGAUAGCUCCGGGAACUGAAGCAGAAGAGGGAGAUGUGGAUGGAGGAAGAAUGACAACAACUAAAUCAUCCUUCCAAGCUGAUUAGUGCAGAGCAUGUUGGAGUCAGGCUUGAGAGAGCUGGAAAAGGUUUCCAGCUAAGGGCUUUUUUUCUUAUCUUUCAGCAUUGUUUUUCUCAUCCUCCAGAGGUUCCCCAGCUCCCAAAACAUGGCAGCGUUCGAGAUGGGGCUGCAGCAUUUCCCAGCCUGCGAGGAUAUUUGUAGAGGGAGCAGAAAGUUUUGCAUGAACCUCUGGGAAGAUCUUUGCUGUUUGGGUGGCAUACAGGUUGCGUCUGUCAAAAAAAUGACAGAAACCACAAUUGGGUUGGAUCCCACAUCUUCCACCACAUCACCAUAUGUGCAAGAAGAAGCCAAAGAGAGGGGCCACAGCCCUCUCCCGCCACUGCAUGGGACCACGCCAUCGCCAGCAUUAGGUCAGGAGCAUGCUGGAGGUGCUGAUCCCAGUGGAAAACCUCCUCUCCCCUCUUCCCAAAACCACCCGUUGCCACUGGAGGGACUUGGCAUCAGCAUCAGCCCCUCCAUAAACACUUCGUCCUUGGGCACAAGAGGGCACUGAAACACCACCACGAUGGGAUGGUUUAUAUAUGCAAAUGGAGCUGCUGCAGCCGUAAAGACCCUUCUGCACCUUCCCUGGCUGCGCACGGGGGGGGGUGAGCAGACACAUCUGAAGGAUGCCCCUGUCUUGCACCCUGACAUGCAUGCCCGUGUUGCACCCUUACCAUUAAACUGCAUCAUUUUAGGAGCCAGCACUUCACCCUGUGUGAGCAGAGCUGUAUUUCUGGGCCUCGGACAUCAUCGCUUCCUGGGACACCCAGCGAAGCAAGAGCAACAAUAUCCCUUCUGCUUCGCUCUUGCUCAACUCUAACACCUGCUCUGUGCUUGCAAAACCAAAGAGCACCUUCGUCUGCUGGGACUGGAGCAGGUGGAAAUCACGCAUCUGUGCUCUGCAAACCGAAGAACGCUUAAUUGAUAUUAAUCUAAUCAAUGCAAAUCAUAUUAGCUCUCCUGGAAACACUAGGUCUUUACCAAUAGCGGCACUGACUAUUCUAUAUAAAUCAAAUUUACCAGCCUAUAAACAUUAGUACAUCCCACAGACAUAUUCACCCUCAUAAAAACAUCAAUUGCUGCCUGACUAUAUUAGUGGAAAUAAAUUACAGAACUUUAUCUCUCUACCAUGAUUAUGGGCAAAACCACAUAAAAGAGACACUUGGAAGAUGCUUUUGUGUUGAUUGUUACAGAAGCUGCUGAUGCUGUUCUGCUUCUUCAAACCACUAUGAAUUGCAUAUAAUUAAGGGAU